rnacentral:snoRNA from 1 species
AACCCAUGGUGAGGGCACCUUCUCAACAAAUCCAUGUAUCUCUCCCAUGCAUCGUAGAGUGUUUUUAAAUCCAUCUACACAAAAGAGGAGAUAUCGUUAUGUAAUU